CCUUUCUCGAACUCGAAAGAGAACCAUCUCUGAAAUCCGAACACGCUCCAGAAUGUUCCCUUCUACCUCUGCCACGGCCUCCCGCCUCCUCGUCCCCGCCGCCUCUCGCCGCGCCAUGGCCGCUGCCGCCUCCGCCAACCCGCCGCCCCCGCAGCAAUCGGCCCCCAAGGCGGUGCGGGUCGUGGUGAAGGGCCGCGUGCAGGGCGUCUUCUUCCGCGACUGGACGGUGGAGACGGCCCGCGCGCUCGGGCUGGCCGGCUGGGUCCGCAACCGCCGCGAUGGCACCGUGGAGGCCCUCCUCUCAGGAGACUCCGCCAGGGUAGACGAGAUGGUCUCCCGGCGCCUUCCCGUCGGGCCUCCCGCCGCCACCGUCACGGCGGUGCUGCCUUCCCCCGCCGAUCCGCUCGACCCCUCCGAGGGCUUCCACCGCAAGCCCACCGCCUGACGACGGCUGGUUCUUCUUAUCAUUGAUAUGCGUUUCACAACCUAUUUUGAAAGAGGCGCGGAAAAAAGUGAGGAUGCAAGGUUACUGGAGACCAAGACUUCGUAUAUAUGAUAUUCAUAAUAAGGUGGAGGUGGAUCCACUAAAUCAUUGGGUAGUAUAUUAAUCUUGAGGACAUGUGGCUGUAUAUUUCAUUUUAUUUUUGCAAUCUACCUUCUAUUCCUAGUAUGAAGUAUCAAUUAACAGUUAUUUUGUUCCAGUAAAUAUUGCUCCAGUAGAUACUCUCUACCAAAUACCAAUUGAAGCAAUAUGUGUUUGUUUAUUUUA